CAGCAGUCGCCGCGGUAAUACAGAGGGUGCGAGCGUUAAUCGGAUUUACUGGGCGUAAAGCGUGCGUAGGCGGCUUUUUAAGUCGGAUGUGAAAUCCCUGAGCUUAACUUAGGAAUUGCAUUCGAUACUGGGAAGCUAGAGUAUGGGAGAGGAUGGUAGAAUUCCAGGUGUAGCGGUGAAAUGCGUAGAGAUCUGGAGGAAUACCGAUGGCGAAGGCAGCCAUCUGGCCUAAUACUGACGCUGAGGUACGAAAGCAUGGGGAGCAAACAGGAUUAGAUACCCGUGUAGUCCCUGUCUCUUAUAU
rnacentral:rRNA from 1 species